GACGAACGCUGGCGGCGUGCUUAACACAUGCAAGUCGAACGGAAAGGCCCUGCUUUUGUGGGGUGCUCGAGUGGCGAACGGGUGAGUAACACGUGAGUAACCUGCCCUUGACUUUGGGAUAACUUCAGGAAACUGGGGCUAAUACCGGAUAGGAGCUCCUGCUGCAUGGUGGGGGUUGGAAAGUUUCGGCGGUUGGGGAUGGACUCGCGGCUUAUCAGCUUGUUGGUGGGGUAGUGGCUUACCAAGGCUUUGACGGGUAGCCGGCCUGAGAGGGUGAACGGCCACAUUGGGACUGAGAUACGGCCCAGACUCCAACGGGAGGCAGCGGUGGGGAAUAUUGCACAAUGGGCGGAAGCCUGAUGCAGCAACGCCGCGUGCGGGAUGACGGCCUUCGGGUUGUAAACCGCUUUCGCCUGUGACGAAGCGUGAGUGACGGUAAUGGGUAAAGAAGCACCGGCUAACUACGUG
rnacentral:rRNA from 1 species